GGGAGCCGUUGUGGCUCCGGCCGAUUGCGCCGGCCCUUGGGCCCUCAGGGCAGGUCGAGGCUUCGAGUUCGAGGCCAGCCUGGCCCACGUUGGUACGAAAAAAACAAAAAAUUUUUU
rnacentral:ncRNA from 1 species